rnacentral:rRNA from 1 species
UACAGAGGUCUCAAGCGUUUGUUCGGAUUCAUUGGGCGUAAAGGGUGCGUAGGUGGCGCCGUAAGUCAGGUGUGAAAUUUCGGAGCUUAACUCCGAAACUGCAUUUGAUACUGCGGUGCUUGAGGACUGGGAGAGGAGACUGGAAUUCACGGUGUAGCAGUGAAAUGCGUAGAUAUCGUGAGGAAGACCAGUGGCGGAAGGCGGGUCUCUGGACAGUUCCUGACA